rnacentral:siRNA from 1 species
AGUUCGAUGAUGACGUCUUUUCAU